rnacentral:rRNA from 1 species
GUGUCAGCAGCCGCGGUAAUACAGAGGGUGCGAGCGUUGUCCGGAAUCACUGGGCGUAAAGGGCGCGUAGGUGGCGCUGCAAGUCGGUGGUGAAAGCUCGCCGCUUAACGGCGAGUCGGCCAUCGAAACUGCAGGGCUCGAGCACUGUAGGGGCUAAUGGAAUUCCGGGUGUAGCGGUGGAAUGCGUAGAGAUCCGGAAGAACACCAGUGGCGAAGGCGGUUAGCUGGGCAGUUGCUGACACUGAUGCGCGACAGCGUGGGGAGCAAACAGGAUUAGAUACCCUGGUAGUCC